rnacentral:piRNA from 1 species
AUUGUGGGCAGUGGAAUCCUUGGGCUUU